rnacentral:lncRNA from 1 species
UCGCCGCCGGCAAGAAUCACGUGUGCGCUGUUCGAGGAUCCUACUACGCCGAUCACGAUUCCGGCACCGUGGAUUGCUGGGAUAUCACGACAACUGUAAACAAAACGUUGACAGCGAAACAGAGUUACUUGUUUUUCAACCAAGCCGUGAUGAAUCUGGAGGUGAAGAGGGUUGUUUCCGGGGAAGGGUUCACCUGUGGCGAGGUCAGAGACGGUGGACUCGUAUGUUGGGGACCUAAGUCUGAAGGGAUAAAAGUUUCCAAUGUUUCCGAGAGUUUCGCGGUUUUAGCGGCGGGUCGGAGGGCCGUGUGCGGUGUUUUCAAC